GGUUGGGUGCCCUGCUAGCUCCUCACAGCCUGCCACCAUUAUUGUAUUAGGUGGCAACACAUAUUUCUUCCUCCCAUUAUCAGGAUCCCCCUUGUAAACAUGGGCUGGAAGGUGGUUGUACUUGGGGGUGGGGAGGGGUAGGCAGCUAUAUCUCAGCAGAACAAAUCCAAUUACUUGUAUUAGAGUGAAUUUGUACAGCCCUCUUGUACAGAAUAAGUAUUUUCUACAGAUCCUGGAGCUUUGAAUCAACAAACUGCUGAUCAGCCUGUGUAGGUGGGGCCCUGGAUGUUACCACAGUGGGAUGGAGUGUGAGAAGCAGGAGGAAAGAAAGGAAACCAAGCAGGUCCACACAACACCAGGACCUUGGCUCUGCUCCCACAGAAGACUCUAAAUCUACAAAUACCAGGAUUUCUCUAUGCUUCUCAUUGGGAAUUUGGACCUCAGCCUGUGCACUUACUACCCUCCACCUCAGAGGUCCAAAGGUGUAGGCACCUCUGAAGCUCAUUUGCCCAAAUCCGUUUCCUUUUUGCACUCUGAGUGUACAUGUGGCUCAGUCACACGCAAAAGCCCCACGUGUAGCAAAACUUCGGUGAGAAACGUGAGGUGAGCCUUCUGCUUU